AUUGAACGCUGGCGGCAUGCCUUACGCAUGCAAGUCGAACGGCAGCACGGGAGCAAUCCUGGUGGCGAGUGGCGAACGGGUGAGUAAAGUAUCGGAACGUGCCCAGUCGUGGGGGAUAACGUAGCGAAAGCUACGCUAAUACCGCAUACGAUCUAUGGAUGAAAGCGGGGGAUCGCAAGACCUCGCGCGAUUGGAGCGGCCGAUAUCAGAUUAGGUAGUUGGUGGGGUAAAGGCCCACCAAGCCGACGAUCUGUAGCUGGUCUGAGAGGACGACCAGCCACACUGGGACUGAGACACGGCCCAGACUCCUACGGGAGGCAGCAGUGGGGAAUUUUGGACAAUGGGCACAAGCCUGAUCCAGCAAUGCCGCGUGCAGGAUGAAGGCCUUCGGGUUGUAAACUGCUUUUGUACGGAGCGAAAAGGCUCUCUCUAAUACAGGGGGCUCAUGACGGUACCGUAAGAAUAAGCACCGGCUAACUACGUGCCAGCCGCCGCGGUAACAC
rnacentral:rRNA from 1 species